rnacentral:lncRNA from 1 species
GCAACAGCUGGACCAUCUCUCUGUUAAGCUUUGGGGACUUGCUGGAGGCACAAACACAGAUCAUAAUGGCCUCUUAUUCAAGUUCUCCUCUGCACCCCAGAUACUGACCCUGCCUGCCUGAACAUGGAGUGCAAACACACCCGCACCGACCAAAGGGGGAAAAGGAAACCGGCACAGCAUUGCCACAAUGGAAUGCAAAAUCAAUUUCAGGAAGGAGAGAUUUAUUAUAGUUUACAAGUCCACAGGAUACAAGCUAUCAAGAUUACGGAAAACUCAAUUACCCUGCUGCCUUAGAAGAAUGGAGGUAUUAUGUUAGAAGAAAGACAUACAACUCAGACCCAAAUGGCAUGUGGUAACAGUGGACUCAGACUGACAGUUACAAGUGUAACUUCACUCCUACAACUGCAGCAGACCAGCAAACUAAAUGUGUUUGGAAGAGGACAUGGAUACAAGAAGAUGAUGGAGUGCACACUGAGAACAAUAUGGUUUUGAAUAUGGCUCAGAAGGCCCUGGGUAUUUCAAUUUAAGUUUUGUGGUUAAAUUUUUGCUGAUUGAUCUGAAACACAUUUUGGUUUUGUUGAUUUUUCUAGAUAUUGAUUGAGGGGUUGAUAUGUUCUUACAUUUAACUGUGCUAAUCUGUGAUCAUGAUGACCCAUUUUGUUCAUUAAAAUAUUAUAUAUGCAUAUAU